rnacentral:rRNA from 1 species
CUACGGGUCGCUGCAGUGGGGAAUAUUGCACAAUGGACGGAAGCCUGAUGCAGCCAUACCGCGUGUGUGAAGAAGGCCUUAGAGUUGUAAAGCACUUUCAGUCGUGAGGAAAGGGUGAUGGUUAAUACCCAUUAUCUGUGACGUUAGCGACAGAAGAAGCACCGGCUAAUUCCGUGCCAGCAGCCGCGGUAAUACGGAAGGUGCGAGCGUUAAUCGGAAUGACUGGGCGUAAAGCGCGCGUAGGUGGUUCAGUCAGUCAGAUGUGAAAGCCCCGGGCUCAACCUGGGAACUGCACCUGAUACUGCUGGACUUGAGUACGGUAGAGGGUAGUGGAAUUUCCUGUGUAGCGGUGAAAUGCGUAGAUAUAGGAAGGAACACCAGUGGCGAAGGCGACUACCUGGACCGAUACUGACACUGAGGUGCGAAAGCGUGGGGAGCAAACAGGAUUAGAUACCCUAGUAGUC